CUUGGUAAAACAGGUAAUGGAUUAAAAGGGAAUCCGGUGAAAAUCUGGAACUAUCCCCGUAGCUGUAAGCUCCUAGCAAAUUAUCCUCACUCACGCCACUGUUGCCAACACGGGAAGGCUUGGAUAACGGAGCAAGUCAGAAGACCUGCCGCAUCCAUU
rnacentral:ncRNA from 1 species